rnacentral:rRNA from 1 species
AUUGAACGCUGGCGGCAGGCCUAACACAUGCAAGUCGAGCGAGCGGCGGACGGGUGAGUAAUGUAUGGGGACUGCCGGAUAGAGGGGGAUAACUACUGGAAACGGUAGCUAAUACCGCAUCCUAUCGGAUAACCCAUAUGGGAUUAGCUUGUAGGGGAGGUAAUGGCCCUCCUAGGCGACUAUCCCUAGCUGGGCUGAGAGGAUGAUCAGCAACACUGGGACUGAGACACGGCCCAGACUCCGACGGAGGCAGCAGUGAGGAAUAUUGCACAAUGGGCGCAAACCUUAUGCAGCCAUGCCGCGUGUAUGAAGCAGGCCCUAGGAUUGUAAAGUACUUUCAGUCGAGAGGCGUUACCUACAGAAGAAGCACCGGCUAACUCCGUGCCAGCAGCCGCGGUAAUUC